CGAUCUCGGCUCACUGCAACCUCCGCCUCCCAGGUUCAAGCAGUUCUCCUGUCUCAGCCUUCCAGAGUUCAAGGGCUUUGAAGGUUUUUACUGCUGUUAUCUGACCCUUUAUCUCACAUAGUUGGGAGCAGAAGUGAAAGGUCAAGGAUGAAGAUCCAGCUCCUGUGACUGUCUCCAUUGUAAUGAAAUUCUGUUAUCACACAAUUUUGUUCUCAUUCUUUCCCAAAUGCAUCUAACAAAUGGAUAACUACCGAUUGUGUCAUUAAAAUCAGUACACAAAGGAACAGAUUAGAGCUUCCAACAUAGACCCACACAUACAAGGACAGCUAAUUUUGACAAAUGUGCAAAGGCAAAUCAGUGGUGAAAAGACAGUCUAUUCAACAAAUAGUGCUGGAACAACUGCAUAUCUAUAUCAAAAGAAAUAAACCUUCAAUCCAUACCUUGUACUUUUUGCAAAAAUGUAUCAGACCUAAAUGCAAAACCUAAAAGUAUAAAACUUAAAAAAAAUGGAAGAAAAUAAUUGUGACUUUGGGUUAAGCAAAGAUUUCUAAGAGAUGACACACAAAGUAUGCUCCAUAGAAGAAAAACAAGAUAAACUGGACUUCAUCGAAAUUGCAAACUUCUUAUCCCAAUUACCCUGAUUUGACCAUUACACAUUGUAUUCAUGUAUUGAAAUCACAUGUGCCCCCAAAAUAUGAUGUAUCAAUAUAAAAAUUACUAACAUUUCCUCUUUAAAAACAGUAAAAGGCACCCUUAAGAGAAUGCAAAGAAAAUAUGCAGUCUGAGAGAAAAUAUUUGCAGAAGCUAUAACUGAUAAAGAACUUGCAUCCAGAGUAUAUAAAGAACUAUCAAAACUUAAUGAUAAAACAACA
rnacentral:lncRNA from 1 species